CCUGUCAGCUAAUGGGCGCACACUCCGCAGAACUAAAACUGCAUAAGUGACAGGGUACUUAAAGAAGCGUUUGGGCUAUAAAGCGCGGUGAAAACCUGCAAAGUACAUAGGGUAAAUAAAUUUAGCAUUGAACCGUCAGAAAUAGCCUUCUGGCGGUUUCUU
rnacentral:ncRNA from 1 species